GACUCAAGUUUCCACAACGACGGCGUCAACACGUCUGGAAACAUAAAUUCAUUGGCCUACCCUCAGCCCAUCUGCCCAACGCUCUCAUUCACUCUCCCAUUCCCCAGUCUCUCCAUUGUUCACUCAUACCCAACUCCGUCCCCAUCUCCGGCGACAUGUCCGCUUCGUCUACAUCCUCUCUCCCCGUCCCGGCGGACUGGCUGCUACCCCUGAUGGCAUAUCCACUCUGCGGCGACGAGGUAGUACGUCGCAAGGAGUGGGAAUCAGGUUGGGCAUCGUUUCUACAAAUGCAUCCGUUAUGAUUCACAUUGUAUGCAGUUCCAUCUAUUAGGAGGCGGCCAAAUUCCUCAAACAUAUUCCUUGUAUAUAUUUUGCUGGCAUGGCGCUCUAUCGCAAGCUUUCAUCGCGCUCACGGUCAAACUGAAGCCCCAUGUAUUGCCAGACAAAAACAUGCAUCGGGCUUGCGGGGGGGCAUGUAUGACUUCAGCAUGUGGUCCGCCCAUCAUGCGAAUGAAUUCUGAAAACACCCAUUCGAAGCUCUCUUCCUGCUCGUCGCGCAUCAACACUCCUGCCACGAUGAUACUCUAGUAGUGAUUGUUAACUCCAACAAAUAGACCGAAUGGCAUGUCGUCCAGAUUUGUACUGUAUGUGGUGUCGAAUGUGACCACGUCGCCAAAGAACUUGUACUGCAUCCUGCUGCUCCCAUUAGCCCACAUGAAAUUCUUCACCUUGCUAUCUUUCUCGGCGAGCACCACAAAGGAGAAUCCAGGGUCACUCGACCGAAUGUCGGCAAACACCUGUAGUGCCUUCCGUACAUCAUCUUCAGCCUGCUCACGACUAAUCUUCCCACAAAUGUUCCUGAGUGUCCUUUUAGUGAAAGGCACCUUCUCAACCGAACCAAAGAAGCUCCCAAUUAUGCUGUAUACCUUGCCAAGGUUGACGUUGUUCUCCCUCAACUGCCUUCUUAAAUCUUUGGUAUAGACGUCUAUGUGUUUAUGA